CUGCAGAAAGCCCCAAAUUGAAUUGGGAAGGCUUCGCAUAAACCCUAACCAGAGCAAUCGAGCUAUUGGAUCUUUCCCUCUUCGUUGGCCUUCGCGGACUCGACGCAAGCGGCGGACAACGUCUUUCCCUCAGGUCUUCUCAUCAGCCCGUAAGCGCUAAGGUUUCCACCUCUAAGCUCCCUUCUCCCUCUCUCGCUCCCCUCCAUGUCGCCGUGUUAGUCCGCUCUGUUCUGUGGUCGUCGGAAGCUCAGAGAGACGAUUUAGCGCACCCGCGAUAAGGAGGCUUAAAGAAAUACAGUGUUACAGAGGUGUAAGACACAUACAGGGCUCCCGUGCAGAGGCCAGAGGAUUAAGAACAAUUGCCUGACAUUGAAGGGCAAGCGUGUGGCUAUUGCCAGGAAGAAGAAGGCUCCUAAUUGAUAUGUAGAUAUAUCGUGUUUGGAUGUAAUAAGACGUUUGCGUGUAUGUUUUCCUUCUUCUAUUGUUCAAUAUGUACUGCGUAUGUCCUUUUAUUUUGGGAUGAAUGUUGUACUGUAUAUGUUAAUUGUCAAGUAAAGCGUAAAAUUUCUUUUAUUGUUCUUA